rnacentral:sRNA from 1 species
GCUGGGUGUGGUGGCGAACACCUGUAAUCCCAGUGGCUUGGGAGGCUGAGACAGGAGGAUUAGGAGUUCAAAGCCAGCCUUAGCAAUGGCGAGACACUAAGCAACUCAAUGAGACCCUGUCUCUA